rnacentral:rRNA from 1 species
UACAGAGGUCUCAAGCGUUGUUCGGAUUCACUGGGCGUAAAGCGCACGUAGGCGGCUUUGCAAGUCAGAGGUGAAAGCCCGGGGCUCAACCCCGGAAUAGCCUUUGAGACUGCAUCGCUUGAACAUCGGAGAGGUAAGUGGAAUUCCGAGUGUAGAGGUGAAAUUCGUAGAUAUUCGGAAGAACACCAGUGGCGAAGGCGACUUACUGGACGAUUGUUGACGCUGAGGUGCGAAAGCGUGGGGAGCAAACAGG